rnacentral:lncRNA from 1 species
GGGAUGGGGAGGUAGAAGUGGGAGGGAAGAGAGCUAAUUGCUUCCUACAUGUCACCCCUGACCAUGUUCAUGGUGUGAGAUUCACCUCAAUAAAUGGGGAAUGUGAUGUUCAGAUUAAUGAAAGGGAAGAAUUAUCUAGAAGGAAAAAGAAAGAUUUGUGUCCUGGUGAAGACUGGGACCUAGAAAAAGGAGGUUUAUGUAGUCAACCUCUAGACAGGUGUUGUCCAUGGCAACCUCUGCCUUAUAUGACAUUGUAUUUUUUUGUAGGAACCCAGACUACAUAUACUGCAUGCACAAAUGAUUUAGUCAAGAAAGGAACAAAAGAGAAAUCAUGAAAAUGUUUCAUAAUACUGUGCAUAAACUUUCAUUUCUGUCAUUAUUUCAGGAUCCAGUGGGGAUGUUGUGCUGACCCAGACUCCCUCUCCUUGCUCAUCACCUUUGGGCAGCUGGCCUCCAUCUCCUGCAGGUGCAGUCAGAGCCUCUUAGAUAGUGAUGGAAACACCUAUUUGCAUUGGGUUCUGCAGAAGCCAGGCCAGUCUCCAAAGCUUCUGAUCUAUGAGGUUUCCAAGUGGUUCACUGGGGUCCCAGACAUCUUCAGUGGCAGUGGGUCAGGGACAGAUUUCACACUGAGAAUCAGCAGGGUGGAGGCUGAGGAUGCUGGAGUGUAUUACUGUGGGCAAUUUACACAUAAUCCUCCCACAGUGGUGCAGCC